rnacentral:sRNA from 1 species
UCUAGUCCGACUUUGUGAAAUGACUUGAGAGGUGUAGUAUAAGUGGGAGCCCUCGGGCGAAAGUGAAAUACCACUACUUUUAACGUUAUUUUACUUAUUCCGUGAAUCGGAAGCGGGGCAACGCCCCUCUUUUUGGACCCAAGGCCCGCCUCGGCGGGUCGAUCCGGGCGGAAGACAUUGUCAGGUGGGAA